rnacentral:misc_RNA from 1 species
GGAAGUAAAAGUUGUAACAAGGUCUCCGUAGGUGAACCUGCGGAGGGAUCAUUACAGAGUUCUCGCCCUCGCGGGUAGAUCUCCCACCCACUGUUAUCGUUACUGUGUUGCUUUGGCGGGCCGCCGGGCCCCGCUCGGCCGCCGGCUCCGGCUGGCGCGCGCCCGCCAGAGGCCCAGCAAACUCUGAAUGUUAGUGUCGUCUGAGUACUAUAUAAUAGUUAAAACUUUCAACAACGGAUCUCUUGGUUCUG